rnacentral:rRNA from 1 species
UACGGAGGGGGCUAGCGUUGUUCGGAAUUACUGGGCGUAAAGCGCACGUAGGCGGCUUUGUAAGUUAGAGGUGAAAGCCCGGGGCUCAACUCCGGAAUUGCCUUUAAGACUGCAUCGCUAGAAUUGUGGAGAGGUAAGUGGAAUUCCGAGUGUAGAGGUGAAAUUCGUAGAUAUUCGGAAGAACACCAGUGGCGAAGGCGAAUUACUGGACACAUAUUGACGCUGAGGUGCGAAAGCGUGGGGAGCAAACAGG